CUCUCUCUCUCUCAUCUCCUCUCUCACUCACACACACACAUUAGCCAUAAAUUAUGAACGGUCCCUUAGAGUGAGAAAAGAAGUCUUUGGUCAACAGUUAGCAGUGUUCCAGUUGAAGCAGAACUUGGGUAUGUUGGGGGAUCUUGAGGUCUUAGGGUGUUUGAAUCUCUGGAUCCCUGAAAUCUGAACUUUUUAUCGAUAGGUAAUGAAAAGGCUGCCCAGCUUUCUAAAUGCUCACUCUAUUUUGCUCUAGGAACACAGCACAUAUUCCAUAGUUUCAGUAAAAGUGGCAGAUUAUAUAUGCAAAUAGUAUCAUAUGCAAACUGAUUUUAUGAAAAAAUAGUAGUAUCUGAGAAAAGGACCAAGUGCACCAAAGAUGAGCUGGAACAAACUAUGUUUAUCAUGGUAAGUUCUAUUCUGUCUAUAGACAGGGUUCCCAUAAGCUUGAAAAAGCCUUGAAUGUUGACAUUUUACCCUUAAAGCGAUGUAGCUGAGAGUUAUCUCCCCCUGACAGUCGGUCCCACAUUUGACCAACCUUGUGUGUAUUCAGCUACUUAUGUGUUAUAUGUGUUUCUAUAGUUUCCUAAACUUAUUGACUGAGCCAUGAAAAGACCCUAAAAAGGCCUUAAUUUGAUGGCGGAUAAUAUGUACAACCCUGAUAGAAGAUGUCAAAACUGGGUCUAUUCAUGAUUUCUUUGUGAUAUUUGUCAGGGAUUGACACCAUUGGUCAUAUCCAAGUAGUCUGCCACCUGUUUGUUUCGAGAAAUAAUAACGACCUAACCGGUUCCUCUCAACUGUUUCAAGUCUUGAAGUAACCGACUUUUGGCUGUGUCUAUCCCAGUUAGUCAGAUUAAUGUCCUGUGAUAAAUUGCUUUAUCAGUGGUGUGAUACAGUAUGUCACAAGACAUAACUCAUUUGGAUAUCCUAUAUUUCAAUGUCUGUUGCCUUAUGUAAAUAUGAUAUAUGUAUUUUGUUGAAAGUUCUGGUUGUGAUGAAUGUUCAAAGUAGGAUUAUGGCGAUCACAGAGAAUGUUUAAACUUAUAAUACUGGAUAAGGGUAUAUUGAAUGUUUUUUGUACUCCUUGUAUCACAAGGCUCACCUGAAAUAUUACACCCGCAAGUAAAUAUAGUAAUAGAUGCAGAAUAUAAGAGACUGGCAGAGAUGCUAUCCACACAAUUUUGCGGAGUUACUCCGAGUUUCAAAUACAAAAUCUGCUCUCCGAUUUGUCUUUAAAAAAGUCUGAUUCUUUUGGAAAAAAAUCUGAUUUUUAUUGUAAGGUAUUACAAUUUCGUAAGUAACAUGAUUUAUUUGAGUCGACACGUUUAAAGGCUUCCGGAAGCUUAGCGUGUGAUCUUUUUGGCCUCGAUAGUUGUGUCAGCCCAUAUGAAACAAAAUGGCGGAGCCGACCAAGCGCUCACCCCCAACUCGCACCUUUGGUGCACGGGCCCGGCUUCCUUUCACUCACUGUGUUAUAUGUGGUGAUAAUUCAUACAUAUCACAGUUUAUGACCCUUCGUCACAAUGCCCAAUCUAUGUAUGUUGUGGGAUCUUUGUGGGGCUCUGGUCCUGAAGAGAACUAGCUGAAGGAAAUAGAACAUGCGUUGCUGAGCCUAACAUAUGUUUGUUAGCAACAUGAGCUUUUUAAAUCUUAACGAUAUUUUGAUUAAUUGAAAUAUUGUGUGAUCUAACACCUCUGAUUUCGAUCAAUUGGUUUGUUAAUGCUGAAAGAUCAUGUGCCCAGAAAAGCCUCAUUAUUUGAUUAUGGAAUACAAGAUUCUGGGUCAAGCUUUUGUAAAGACCUUUUUCAUGGCAACAACAUUGUGUAAUUAGAAAUUACAUUUCUGUGAUAUUAGAAUACAUUAGCUGCCACUAGUGUCAGUUGUAGAUUAUUUUUAUGUCAGUACUUAGCGUUAUGUACUUCAGAUGCGUAAACUUGAUGUAACUGUCGAUACUUGUACAUUCCAUGAUGAAAUAUAUUCACAGACUGAUAUUUAACCAAAGGCCCAAGUAUGUAUGUGCAAUUAUAGAUCUGUUACUGUCUUAUAUAAACAGUCUAUUAUCAA